GGGGGUUUAGCUCAGUGGUAGAGCGCUUGCCUAGGAAGCGCAAGGCCCUGGGUUCGGUCCCCAGCUCCG
rfam:Rattus norvegicus chromosome 4, whole genome shotgun sequence.